UACGUAGGCAGCGAGCGUUGUUCGGAGUUACUGGGCGUAAAGGGUGUGUAGGCGGUUCUUUAAGUUUGGUGUGAAAUCUCCCGGCUCAACCGGGAGGGUGCGCCGAAUACUGAGGGACUAGAGUGCGGGAGAGGAAAGUGGAAUUCCUGGUGUAGCGGUGAAAUGCGUAGAUAUCAGGAGGAACACCGGUGGUGUAGACGGCUUUCUGGACCGUAACUGACGCUGAAACACGAAAGCGUGGGUAGCAAACAGG
rnacentral:rRNA from 1 species